rnacentral:snoRNA from 1 species
AAUUCAUGUUGUGGGUAUUGUUGAAGUAAACCAUUGUAUCGUUCCCAAACUUUUGAAUAGCAUUCUGAGUUCAUUUCCUGAAAAGUAGUGAUCUUGUCCUUUGGCUUU